rnacentral:rRNA from 1 species
AGAGUUUGAUUCUGGCUCAGGAGUGAACGCUAGCGGCAGGCUUAACACAUGCAAGUCGAGGGGCAGCGGGAUGUAGCAAUACAUUGCCGGCGACCGGCGGAUGGGUGCGUAACGCGUAUGCAACCUACCUUAUACAGGGGAAUAACCUUUCGAAAGGGAGACUAACACCCCAUAGUAUUGAUUUAAGGCAUCUUAGAUUAAUUAAAUAUUUAUAGGUAUAAGAUGGGCAUGCGUAUGAUUAGCUAGUUGGUAAGGUAACGGCUUACCAAGGCGACGAUCAUUAGGGGUUCUGAGAGGAAGGUCCCCCACACUGGUACUGAGACACGGACCAGACUCCUACGGGAGGCAGCAGUGAGGAAUAUUGGUCAAUGGGCGCAAGCCUGAACCAGCCAUGCCGCGUGCCAGGAAGACGGCCUUAUGGGUUGUAAACUGCUUUUACAUAAGACUAACCGUAUAUUUGCGAAUAUACCUGAAUGUAUUAUGAGAAUAAGGAUCGGCUAACUCCGUGCCAGCCGCCGC